GUUGGAAAAGAUUUAUCGGUGUGAGAUGGACCCGCGUCUGAUUAGCCAGUUGGCAGGGUAACGGCCUACCAAAGCGACGAUCAGUAGCCGGACUGAGAGGUUGGCCGGCCACAUUGGGACUGAGAUACGGCCCAGACUCCUACGGGAGGCAGCAG
rnacentral:rRNA from 1 species